AUGUCCAGCAGCCGCGGCGACGCUCUCCUUGACUCGGCGCCGCUGCUCGGCGCCGGCGCCGGCGGCGGGGGCCAGCGCCGGGGCAACGCGCUCCGCCGGCCGUCGCUGCGCGGCGCCGCGCGCCUGCUGCGCCGCAGCGGGCGGCGGGCGAUGCGGGAGCCGUCGAUGCUCGUGCGGGAGGCGGCGGCCGAGCACCUCGAGGAGCGGCAGGCGGACUGGGCCUACUCCCGCCCCGUCGUGGCGCUCGAUCUCCUCUGGAACAUCUCCUUCAUCACCGUCGCCGCCGUCGUGCUCGUGCUCAGCCGCAACGAGAAAUCCCCCAUGCCGCUCCGGACCUGGGUCGCCGGCUACGCCCUGCAGUGCGUCGUCCACAUGGUCUGCGUCGCCGUCGAGUACCGGAUGCGCCGAAGCCAGCGCGGCGGGGCCCCAGCACCCGCCGACGAGGAGAGGGGCAGCGACGGCUCGUCCUCGUCCAGCGACGAGGAUGCCAGCGAGCACCAUCUUCGUGGUCGCGACACCGAUUACGUCAGUUUGGCAAAGCAUCUGGAGUCUGCGAAUACAAUGUUCUCCUUCAUAUGGUGGAUAAUUGGAUUUUACUGGAUAUCUGCCGGGGGUGAAGAGGUUAUCCAUGAUGCACCUCAACUAUACUGGCUUUGCAUAGUCUUUCUGGCGUUUGAUGUGUUCUUUGUUGUUUUCUGUGUCGCUCUGGCUUGCAUUAUUGGUAUUGCCGUUUGUUGCUGCCUCCCUUGCAUUAUAGCAAUUCUGUAUGCUGUCUCUGAUCAGGAAGGAGCAUCUGAAGAUGACAUUCGGCAAAUUCCGAAAUACAAAUUCCGUAGGGUGGAUGAACCUGAAAAGGAUUCUGCUGAUGCCACUGAGUCUUCUGGUGGAAUAAUGAUAGAGUGUGGCACCAACCAACCUAUAGAGAAAGCACUUGCAGCUGAAGAUGCAGAGUGCUGCAUUUGCAUUUCAGCAUACGAUGAUGGUGCAGAGCUGCGUGAACUCCCUUGUGGCCACCAUUUCCACUGUGCCUGCAUCGACAAGUGGCUGCACAUCAACGCAACAUGCCCCCUGUGCAAGUUCAGUAUCCGGAAGGGCGGCAGCAGCAGCGGAAGCGAGGAAGUAUAA
rnacentral:rRNA from 1 species